GCACACGUGUAAAAAGUGGAGAGUAGUAGGCACAGGUGUAAAAAGGGGAGAUUUCAGAAGACGGGCAAGACAACUGAUGGGGGAAGAUACUUGGGGUGUGAAGAUGAGAAAGAAACAAUGCUGAGGGACCUAGUGAAAUCAAUGAAACUCUCGAGUCUUGCUUAGGCUCGCAAAUAAGAAGUGGGGAGGCUUGGGAAAUUAGGAUAUGACACAUAUGAAAGGUUUAUCUAAGAAGAAAGAAACAGAGAUAAUAUAUAUAUAGAAAGAUGUAUAUAGAUGUAUAUAUGCCCAAAUAUAUUGAAUGUACAGAAGGGAAAUAUUCAGAGACUUUAGCAUUGGGGGCAGAUAUCUUGGCCUGGUUAUGGGGUAGGACACCCAGAUUUCCAGACUUACAAUCAGUGGUCCUGGUUUCAACAUGGAAGUGAGAUAGAUCAUGAAGGAUUUCAAGUCUGGAAAUGGGAAAGGGAGGGGUAGAAGUUCCUUUUCAGAAAUAAAGAGGCAUUCAUGAAGGCUUUUGUUGAAUCCUAUGCUACUGAUAGGACCAGGAAGAGAGGAACUCGGAGGACAAUAGGGAGGGGAAAUCUUGGAAAAUCUACCACUUACACUGUGUGCCCCCAUCCCCAGCAGAGUCCUGCCACUGUAGCGCCUUUUUAAAAUAAAUAAAAUAAAAUAAAAUAAAAUAAAAUAAAAUAAAGUAAAGCACCCUUUGGUUUCCCUUUCAUGAAGUACACUGUAUUUCCCCGUCUUCCACAGGGGUGGGAGCUGCUAUUGCUCUAGCCCCUGAAAUCAAACUCAGGAGCUGAACACCUUGGUGUAUGGGAGGCACUAAUGGGAAGCCUCAACCCUGGAAUCCAAACGCCAGGACUAAUAGCUGUUGGGCUCAAGAUCUCCCAAGGUUGAGGCCCAGCCUUUUGUGUGGCUGCAAGCAUCCCAAAGAGAAAGCCAUGGAUUCCAGAAGAGUUCCAAUCCUGGCAUUUGGGCAUGGAGGGUGAUGCUUUGGUUUUGAUGCUUCUGAAUGAAAAUGAGGAGUGGGGUUACCAGCUGCUCUAGGGGGAUGGUGAAGUUCCAUGAGAAGCUUCCAAAAUCUCUGCAAUGUGCUUCACCCCAUUAUUCCCCCAACCCCUGUCAGCCUAAUAAAAUCAUCCAGGAGUUUCCCUAUAAGGUCUGAGCAGAGAAAGGAAGCCAGUUAUACUAUUGCUACAAGUCCAGGACACUGUGCCCUCCCCACGGCUGCUGCCCUGGUCCUUUAUUCUUGCUAGCUAACCUAGUUCACUUGUACAGUAACACACUACCUUUACUGGAAAGAUAGCAUGGGUCUCCAGGCUCAGUAAUGGCCAACUCUACUGAUGCAGAAGUAUUUAGGGAUGUUUUUUCCAUUCAUUGCACUAAAGACUAAACCAGGUCAAAUUUAUCUAGGAAAAAAAGGUGUGUAAGAUUUGUUUUGUUUUUGUCUGUUAAGAAUAAGCUACUAAAUAAAAUGGAUGACUCUUUGGUUGUCA